UACGAAGGGGGCUAGCGUUGUUCGGAAUCACUGGGCGUAAAGGGCGCGUAGGCGGCCGAUCAAGUCGGGGGUGAAAGCCUGUGGCUCAACCACAGAAUUGCCUUCGAUACUGUUUGGCUUGAGACCGGAAGAGGUUAGUGGAACUGCGAGUGUAGAGGUGAAAUUCGUAGAUAUUCGCAAGAACACCAGUGGCGAAGGCGGCUGACUGGUCCGGUUCUGACGCUGAGGCGCGAAAAGCGUGGGGAGCAAACAGG
rnacentral:rRNA from 1 species